GUCUCGGGGAGGGUAUUACUAAUAUUAAAAUGGGUUAUUAUACUAACGCGUGUGCAUUGUUUAUUCAAUUAGAUUAUAACCAGGGAAUCACAAAGGAAAGCCCUAUAAUAGCAAUGUAACACAAUGUGAAAGCCAAUUAGAAUAAAGCCAGCUCGAGAGCACUGACGGCUUGGAAAAAUGUGGCUAUAAAAGUUACCUAAAAGACGAUGUUUUAAAUUCAAUAAAAUAAGGGUUAUCCCUAUAAACAUGUUGUAAUAAGAAUCUUGGGUUUUACCCAUGUGAUUAUAAAAAUAAAAUAUGGUGGUUUUACUCUGAUAAAAUAUUUCCUAACUACGGUCCUGAU
rnacentral:lncRNA from 1 species